GUAGUUCGGGUAUGGCCGCGGGAAAACUCCAUUUUCCAGUGCCGGAGCCCUCGUCUCGCCUCGCCUCAAAAUGCGGGACCCCGGCAGGCGCUGGGAUUUUGCAAACAGUAUGGCUGAGCAAUCAGAGGAGGGUUUCUGGAAGAAACGCAGUGCAGGAGGUGGUGCAUUACCCGUUUAAAUGCAGCAGUAGUGUCACAGCAGGGAACAGGUGUGUGUGUACCUCCACACGUUGUGAGAAGAAUUUGUUAGCAGUUACUGCCAGUGAGAUAAUGCCACGGCCCUACGGAAGCACCGAGGUGAUGAGGAUGCAUUGCCUCAAAGCAGCGCCUCACCUUGGUGGCUUUUCUGAAUCAGAAGAGUUUGGCUGCGGUAGCCCAACGUGUACCUGAGGCUGGUAUGCUCACCUGGGUCACUGCAAGUACACGCGUGGAUGCCGCUACCUCUUUGUCUCCGUGGCCGACAUUUGGUUACAGUUUCUUUGUGAUGGAAAUGCCCAAAUACUUUGUUAGCCCUUACACGGGAGCAACCCCGUAGGAGAUGCUGUCUUCUCAGCAGCGGAGCUACCAUGUGCAUUUCCACGAGAAGCCACGGGGAAUGGGGUGGGGAGGCAACAAUGUCUGUUAAGGGAAACAUUUGUUGGAUUGGUUUUCUUUCAGCUCUCAAACCAAAUGCUGUUUAGAUGACAUUUUCAGAGACACGUCUGGCUGUUAAAGGGGUAAUUCAGCUCCAGCUCCCCUGAAGCCUGCACAAUUGUUCUUUAAUAAAUAGGUGCCCAUAGAGGACCUGG
rnacentral:lncRNA from 7 species